CCUGGAACUCACUUUGUAGACCAGGCUGGCCUCCAACUCACAGAGAUCCGCCUGCCUCUGCCUCCAGAGUGCUAGGAU
rnacentral:miRNA from 1 species